rnacentral:tRNA from 4 species
UUCGUUAUAGUUUAUAAAAAUAUCGAAGUGCAAAUUCGAAGUUGAAAGAAUAUUUCUAAUGAAU